CGGGUCAGAUAAUCGUCACCUGGUGUUGGCCGUGAGCGGGCGGGAAUCGAACUGGGGUGGCCGGGUUAGUAGCGCAGUGGCUGUGACCGCUUACACGACCGCUCCCCUCUGCUCCACCACCACCACCACUAAAAACGAAUCCCAACUCUGCAACAAAAAGAAGCAAAAACCCCUUCGAUUCCCCCGGUCAGAAUACAAAUUCUUCACGGAUGGCCCCCACUUUCAAAUGCCCUCCCCCCACCCCCCCAAAUAAAAAUACAAAGCGGAUAUCUUUUAGAACAUACGCCACCGCGUUGCUACAUUAGCAAAGCUCCGUUUUUUUAUCAUUCCCUCUCCCUCACCCUCUCUCUCUCUCCUUUCUCACCGUUGCCUGGAGCUGCAAUUGCCAUUUGCUCGCCGGUUCGAGAAUUCCUCAUGCGCCACCUGCGGACGCCGUAAUGAAUUAAGAGGAGAAAUUAAUCUCCGCACGUCAAUCACCCGCUCCCAGCCCGUGGAGGAUAGAGGCGGGGGCGCCUCGCGACGAUGACCCCCCCCGGGGGCUCCGUGCCAGCCAGCGGGCAGUGCCAGCCUCGGAUGAGAAUGCAUAGGUGGGGGUGGGGGGCUGCGUGGUGGGUGAUACGUACGUAUGCAAAAAGCGUUGAAAACGCGAGAAUGUCAUUGGGUAAAGAGGCAGCGACGGGCGAGCAGACGGAGAAAACCCACAACAUAACGACGUUUCGCUGGUGACCACAACAAACCAGCAUCAUCAUCGUCGGCAUCAUCAGGCGAUUUGCCAGAAAACUAAGCCUACGUCUCCGUUGCACCUCCGGCUUCACCGCAUGGCUCAAUCUGCUCACCGCGUGGGUGGCCGGACACCCGCCGGAGAAAGUCAACACAAAAUCAGCACACAAAGCCAACACACAAAAUCAACACACAAAGCCAACACACAAAGUCAACACACAAAGUCAACACACAAAAUCAACACACAAAGUCAACACACAAAGUCAACACAACAUCAAUACACAAAAUCAACACACAAAGUCAACACAAAAUCAACACAAAAUCAACACACAAAGUCAACAAAAAAUCAACACACAAAGUCAACACAAAAUCAGCACACAAAGUCAACACAAAAUCAACACAACAUCAGCACACAAAGUCAACACAAAGUCAAGGACGCGCCUCCGUUGUACACGUCGCUCGCCCAAAGUUAUCCAGCAAUUGUGCGUGACGUCAUUUAUGGACGGCCCCUCACUGCAUCGCGCGCUUUCGGAUGCGCUUCU